AUUGAACGCUGGCGGCAGGCCUAACACAUGCCAGUCGAACGGUAACAGGAAGAAGCUUGCUUCUUUGCUGACGAGUGGCGGACGGGUGAGUAAUGUCUGGGAAACUGCCUGAUGGAGGGGGAUAACUACUGGAAACGGUAGCUAAUACCGCAUAACGUCGCAAGACCAAAGAGGGGGACCUUCGGGCCUCUUGCCAUCGGAUGUGCCCAGAUGGGAUUAGCUAGUAGGUGGGGUAACGGCUCACCUAGGCGACGAUCCCUAGCUGGUCUGAGAGGAUGACCAGCCACACUGGAACUGAGACACGGUCCAGACUCCUACUGGAGGCAGCAGUGGGGAAUAUUGCACAAUGGGCGCAAGCCUGAUGCAGCCAUGCCGCGUGUAUGAAGAAGGCCUUCGGGUUGUAAAGUACUUUCAGCGGGGAGGAAGGGAGUAAAGUUAAUACCUUUGCUCAUUGACGUUACCCGCAGAAGAAGCACCGGCUAACUCCGUG
rnacentral:rRNA from 1 species